CUGCUAUCGGAUUGAUACUAAGCCAUGCGAGUCUUUGUAGUAAUACAAGGCAGACGGCUCAGUAACACGUAGUCAACCUACCCUAUGGACAAGAAUAAUCUCGGGAAACUGGGCAUAAUUCUUGAUAGAUCAUAAUGCCUGGAAUGGUUUAUGGUUAAAAUGAUUCGUCGCCAUAGGAUGGGACUGCGGCCUAUCAGCUUGUUGGUGAGGUAAUGGCCCACCAAGGCGAUUACAGGUACGGGCUCUGAGAGGAGAAGCCCGGAGAUGGGUACUGAGACACGGACCCAGGCCCUAUGGGGCGCAGCAGGCGAGAAAACUUUGCAAUGUGCGAAAGCACGACAAGGUUAAUCCGAGUGAUUUCUGCUAAAGAAAUCUUUUGCCAGUCAUAAAACCACUGGUGAAUAAGGGGUGGGCAAGUUCUGGUGUCAGCCGCCGCGGUAAAACCAGCACCUCAAGUGGUCAGGAUGAUUAUUGGGCCUAAAGCAUCCGUAGCCGGCUUUGUAAGUUUUCGGUUAAAUCCAUGUGCUCAACGCAUGGGCUGCCGAAAAUACUGCAUGGCUAGGGAGUGGGAGAGGUAGACGGUACUCAGUAGGAAGGGGUAAAAUCCUUUGAUCUAUUGAUGACCACCUGUGGCGAAGGCGGUCUACCAGAACACGUUCGACGGUGAGGGAUGAAAGCUGGGGGAGCAAACCGGAUUAGAUACCCGGGUAGUCCCAGCUGUAAACGAUGCAGACUCGAUGAUGCAUUGGCAUAAUAGCCAGUGCAGUGUCGCAGGGAAGCCGUUAAGUCUGCCGCCUGGGAAGUACGUACGCAAGUAUGAAACUU
rnacentral:rRNA from 1 species